rnacentral:rRNA from 1 species
UGGGGAAUAUUGCACAAUGGGCGAAAGCCUGAUGCAGCGACGCCGCGUGAGGGAUGACGGCCUUCGGGUUGUAAACCUCUUUCAGCAGGGAAGAAGCGAAAGUGACGGUACCUGCAGAAGAAGCGCCGGCUAACUACGUGCCAGCAGCCGCGGUAAUACGUAGGGCGCAAGCGUUGUCCGGAAUUAUUGGGCGUAAAGAGCUCGUAGGCGGUUAGUCGCGUCUGCUGUGAAAACUCGAGGCUCAACCUCGGGCUUGCAGUGGGUACGGGCUGACUAGAGUGCGGUAGGGGUGACUGGAAUUCCUGGUGUAGCGGUGGAAUGCGCAGAUAUCAGGAGGAACACCGAUGGCGAAGGCAGGUCACUGGGCCGCAACUGACGCUGAGGAGCGAAAAGCAUGGGGAGCGAACAGGAUUAGAUAGCCCUGGUAGUCCAUGCCGUAAACGUUGGGCGCUAGGUGUGGGGUCCAUUCCACGGAUUCCGUGCCGCAGCAAACGCAUUAAGUGCCCCGCCUGGGGAGUACGGCCGCAAGGCUCAAAAACUUAAAAUGAAUUGACGGGGUCAUAGCUGUUUCCU